rnacentral:lncRNA from 1 species
GUACAAUUUUUUGACCAUUUUUUCUGGAACGGAUGGACACAAAAUACCCUUGCUUCUAAACAAUGAUCAAAAGGUCAUUAAGGUUAAUUGUGUAAUACUUAAAGUCGGGUCGGUUUUUGUCAUAAAUUUAUAACCCGAUUUCAAUUUUCGGAUCUUUAUUAAUUAUGUUAGUCGAAAUCAAAAUAAUUUUGAAAAAGAAAAUAUGGUAAUAUUCUAUAUCGAACAAAACUAUUUACAAACCAAAAAAAAAUCAGCAUUAAUUAUCAAGUAUACAAACAUAUUUGUAAGAUUACACCAUCGGCUAAUGACUCACCAAAUUAUUAAUCCAACUUCCCUAAAUUUAACAACACAAUCAACUAAAUCAAAAAUGUUAAAGAUCUUUUGACAUCAUAUAUAGCAACAACAAUUAAUUACAUAUGAGCAUAAUACUAGCAUAUAUCUAACCAUUUCGAAUUUUUUUUAUGAAAGAUCAGUCAAUAUAUUUUAAACUUGCUUAUCAUAUCAACUUACGUUAUCAUCAUCUCAAAACAUUAUAAAUAUGUUUUCUUCCCACAAAACACCAGACUGUAAACAUAUUCAUUCACAUAACAUGCAUCAUCUUAACUUAUGUGAAUAUAAGUUUCUACGAAUUACAUAUUUUUCAUAUUACAUAUUUUAUCCAAAAAAAAAAGAAUUACAUAUUUUUCAAAAAUACUAAUACUCUAAUGGGUUGAAGUUGUAGGUGGAUAUUACGAUUUACGAUACACGGGACAAUAAGAAGUUUGGAUUUCGAAUGGCAUUCACAACCACAAUGCUCUCAUCAGUUAUUAUCUUGGUUAAUAUCACGUUGGUGCUAGAGUCCUCUCUCUAAAGUUCGAAAUUUAAGUCCAUUUGAUUCAACCCCUUUUUCGGUGAUUUAGUUUAUCAAAGAAUAUUAUAAUACAAAGAGCAUGAUGAUCUCUAUGAACUCUUUCGAGGUUAUAUUAAAACAUUCUAUGUUUUUAAACAUAUCAUAGAACGGGGUUAUAUUUAAACAUUUUAUGAUUUUAAAUAUU